GAUGAACGCUGGCGGCGUGCCUAAUACAUGCAAGUCGAGCGAACGGACGAGAAGCUCGCUUCUCUGAUGUUAGCGGCGGACGGGUGAGUAACACGUGGAUAACCUACCUAUAAGACUGGGAUAACUUCGGGAAACCGGAGCUAAUACCGGAUAAUAUUUUGAACCGCAUGGUUCAAAAGUGAAAGACGGUCUUGCUGUCACUUAUAGAUGGAUCCGCGCUGCAUUAGCUAGUUGGUAAGGUAACGGCUUACCAAGGCAACGAUGCAUAGCCGACCUGAGAGGGUGAUCGGCCACACUGGAACUGAGACACGGUCCAGACGCCUACGGGAGGCAGCAGUAGGGAAUCUUCCGCAAUGGGCGAAAGCCUGACGGAGCAACGCCGCGUGAGUGAUGAAGGUCUUCGGAUCGUAAAACUCUGUUAUUAGGGAAGAACAUAUGUGUAAGUAACUGUGCACAUCUUGACGGUACCUAAUCAGAAAGCCACGGCUAACUACGU
rnacentral:rRNA from 1 species